UCUUUGUUUGUUCUUUAUUCUUCUCUAUUUGUCUCUCCUUUAUUUUUUCCCUUUAGGCUUCCUUCUCUUGUCCUAGAUCUUCUUUUGCAAUUUAUUAGGUUUGUUAAUUUUGAAACGCUUUAAAAUAAAUAUUUUGCAAACUAUGCUCUGGUGGAGAGUUUGUAGGAGUCAAAAGUCCAAGAUUAACCCAUGUCAGGACACUUGGUCUCAUCUGACUUUGUAAAUCUAAAAGAUAAAAGGUGAAUGUCCAAAUGAGAACCAGUCACCUGACCUCCUUUUGUAGUCACAGAGGGAAAGUAACAAACAGAGUUUCAGUUCAAUUCAUCCUAAUCAGGUUGUCUGCUUUGGGUCAAAAAACAUCUCUGGAAAAUGUCCGUUUCUUUCUGCUGUAUAUGAAAAAGGCUUGGGUACUCUUCUGCUGAUCUGGGAUCCAUCUCCAGGCUAUGGACAUCUCUCACUGGCAUUGGCACCCAGCUGGUAAGAAUAAGAUUAACUUCGAGAGGCUUUGCUGAAGACAGCAUUCCAGGGCUGGUGCACACCAACCAGACUGACCAGACCAUUGUGAAAUGACCCGCUCUUCAGAAAGGAGUCUGAGAAACAAGUCUUGGGAUGUUUCCAUCUUGAAAGCCUUGGGAUAGGAAUGAGGGCUUCUUCUAUGACAAAUCUUGAAUAUUGUUACCAAAUUUUUAGAUUGAGAAGAUUACUCAGUGUUCUUUCAAGAGUUUAAUGAGAUUACAAAUUCUUUGAGGUGAGAAAGUUCAACAUUAAUUUUAGACGGAAAUAGCUUUUUCAGCAAUAAAAAUACUGAAGAUUACUUCACCUGGGCAACUUUGGCAAGGACUUCAGUAGCAAACCUGACUUUUAUGUACUUGACCUUCUUUCUUGAAGUUUUUCUUAAACCCACAAAUACAUAUCCUGGGACAAAAGGAAAGGGAGAUUGUUCUCAAGUUACUGCUUCCAAAAGCCACAUCCCUUUGGUCAAAUACAGCCGUAUGAUGGUCCCUUAAACCUUGAAAACACUAGAAUGGAUUUCAGAUCUGACAAAAAACCUGUGAUGACUGCAAAGCCAAGCCAAACCAGUAAUCAAGCAGGACAGAAAUCUUCAUUCCAUUGGCAAGAUAAUUCUCUUCCCUUUGCCUUAGAUGCCAGAUUCUGGAAACAGUGAUGUUUUCAAUCCAAAUGAGAAAGAUUGUGCAGGCAAUUGUUUACAGCUUCUGGCCUUGAUGUAUGCACUAUAAAAUGGUGAAAAGAUUAUUAGAUGAAAGCAAUUAUGUUUCCUUCAUAGUCAAAUUUUGAAGACCAACAAAUGGAUGACCUGACACAGUAUGACAAGUCUUUUGUUUGGAUGUAUUCUGGCAGAGUUGCUGCUUGUAUUUCCCUCUAGCUACCAUUCUGUCCAUCUUGCCCAAGACUGCUACAACAGGUUGCAAUAGAAAAUUCAGAAAGGCUUUUAUUCUUUCCAUUGUUUCAAAAGUGUACUUUUCUACAAUUGGCAAAUAUAAGACACUAUAUUUGAGAAGCACAGUAAUUCUUACUAGAUUUGUAGGAAUAUAUGAAGAGUCAUUCAAAAAAUACCUAAAAUUGCAGAAAGUUAUUUGCAAUCUCCUGCUACAAGAAAACUUAGGAGCAAUCACAUUCUUGUAAGUUUAAAAAUUGUGGGUUUAACAUGUAUUUUUUGGGUGGGGUGCUUAUAUGCUGUUGUAGUUUUUCAGUGGGGCUUUUAUCCCAGUAAGUAAGCACUCUUACCUCUCAGGGUAUGAAUCAUCUUUUCCACAUAAUGAUGACCACACUAUUCAACAAUUCUCUGUCUUUUGUGGAAAACGGCUUAAUGAUUGUGCUGUCACAGAGAUCAGAUUAUGUUAAAUCCUAACAUUGUUUUAGUAUUGAACACUGCCUGCACAACUUUUGAAGGAAACAAUCAGAUUAAGGAAGAAAAAAAAAGUUGCAGAUCAGUCAUGGAACUGAACAAAAUUUAUCAGCAAACCUAAAACAUAUACAUUAGGCCACAAAGUUUUUAAAGGAUUUUUUUUCCAAUAACAUGCAAAUAUUCAACUCCCAAAUUCUACUGAUUCUUGUUUUGAAAUAAGUACUAUCAGGGACACUCAAUUCCAGCUCUGUACAUUAAUGAGCACCUUGAAAAGUUUUCAUCCAAUCUAAAUUUAGAUACCUAGUUCAGAUACUGUAGGAAAACAAGCUUCUUAAAUAAUCACUUUUUUAUUUCUCUGUGCCAGAAAGAUUGCAAAAUUUAUAAUAUUUUACAUUUUAAUUUAUUUUCUUAGGACAAAAAAUUCAAUUAAGAGGUUUCUGCAGGAAAGGUUUUCACCUGCCAAUUAAUGGGAAGGAGAAAGACAUUGAGAGUUCCUCAAAAUUUCCUAAGGGUCCUUAAGGUUGGGGGCAUUGCUUUUAUUUAUUUUCAUAUAUAGGCUGGAUUGUGCUCACACAGAUGUUUUGCCACUCAUCCUCCAUCAAACAGGCAAGAAGAAAAAAGUAUCAUUAAAAGCUUGUGGAUGAAGAUAAGGACAGGGACACACCUUAGCAAUUGCCAUCAAAGACAGAAUAAACUUGAAUUAGGUAUAUUAAUGUAUUAAUGUAUUAUUUCAUGUAAUUGCAGCAAAAUAAGGUCGUGAGAAGAAAAACUAAGUUAAAAGCACCUUUUCCCCACCCCUCACCACUUCUUUCCAAGCUCAGCUUCACUCUGAGUCUUCUGCCUUCUGAGCAGUGCUAGGGAAUGGGGAAUGGGAAAUGGGGAAUGGGGGUUGCAGUCAGUUCCUGGCAUUGUGUCUAUGAAUCUUCUUCCUCUUCACACUCAGGCUGCAGUUCUUCGAGAACUGCUCAAGCAAGGGUCCUUUCCAUGGGGUACAAUCCUACAGGAACAGUCUGACCCAACGUAGGCUCCUUCAGGUGCUGCAGGUUGAUAUCUGCUUCACCUUGAACCUCCUUGGGGCUGCAAGGAGACAGCUUCCUGAGCACAGCCUGCACCCCACUCUGCAAGAGAAUCUCUGCACCUCCUCCCCCUCCUUCUUCACCACCCUUAGUGUCUCUGGGGCUGCUUCUCUUACAUAAUCUCUCUCCCCUCUCCCAGCUGUUUUGGUUGGUUUAUACCUUAAAUACAUUAUCACAGAGAUGCUAGCAGCAAUGUUGCUGAGAGACUCAGCUUCAGCCAGCAGGGUGUCCUUUUUGGACCCAGCUGGAAUUGACUGCCCAAUGUGGGAGCAACUUCUGCUGUCUUCACAUAAGCCACACCUGCCACCCCCAGUGUUAUCAAAAUCUAGCCACAUUAACUCACAUAAACCCAAUAUAAUACUUAAAUCCAAGAGCACAUUUUUUUUCUUGUUUUAUUUUUGCUAAUAGAUUUAUAAUAAAAAGUAAUUAUAUUUGCUAUUUUCACUUUAUAUUGACUCUUGAUUAUUAGGAAAAUGGUAAAAAUAUCUUCAUUAUAAUAUUUGUCACUUGGAUCUGAAUAAUAAUACGGAUCUGAUAAAAAUACAGUUAUUGGGGGGCAAGAUAUAGUUUAGGUUUAAUUUUGGGAAAAAAGACAGCAAACAAUAUUGAAAUAGAAUGUGUGGGAAGUACAUGUUAAGUAGAAUGUGAAAACAAAUUAGUCGCAUACUCAGGAAAAUUGAAAUAGAUACACUUUAAAUUUCCCAAUUCCUAAUUUUGACUGCAAAUUAUCAGUGCUCAGGGGAAAUGGAAAAAUGAGAGACAACAACAGAAAAUUUGGUUUGCAAGCCAGAAGUCAAACAAUGAAAGAAUAGUGGAGUAAGAAUGGUAAACUGACCCAGUGGUAAAUAAACAAGGAAUAGAAAAAACAAGCUUUGCUUUUGCAAAUAAAAGGUUUUUUCUUCUUUUUAUUUUAUUACUUUUUAUUUUUUAUACUAAGAUGAGGGGAGGCUCUAGAAACAGGAAAAAGAACAAUAUACUUCUCUAUAAAAUAUCAGCCACUCCUGCAAUCAUGAAUCAUUUAGCUAUAAUGUACAACAGUAUGGGGAUGGCUAUAAAAUACUUUGAGAAACAAGAAAAGCAAGUUUUAAAAUUGAUAAUUGUCCCUCAUCUGUUUGAAGGUACUUAUUGGCUUUUCAAUUACCUGCAUCUGAAUUCCAAAUUGAAAUCCUUUAUUACUACUGCUUAACAAAAUGUGCAUUUGUAGCAAAGCUUUGCACUAACCACCAUUAAUCCAGCAAUAUUUAAUGUCUUGGAAGGAUAAUGUACGUUGGAGGAUCAGAAUUAAGAAAGGAUUUAUCUGGUAAUGAUUUGACCCUUGGAAAGGGGAAAACUCCUAUGCUUAUAUUCUGAUUUAGUUAUUUUUUAAAAUUCAGGCAAUACUUACCCGUGGCUUGCAAUAAAAGCUAGAUAAGGUCCAAUUUUUUUUCCUCAUCUCCCAUCUCUCUUUCACAUUCCAGUAAAAAACCUUGGUUUAGGCUACUCUCCUUCUUGUGAAUGUAAAGAAAAGCAUGUAAAAUUAUUUUCAGUCUGAUAUGUGGCAAAUAACUGCAAGGAAUAUAAAAUCAGUGCCUCUUUGCUUUGUAAAGCAAAUCCUAAGAAAUAAAACAACAGCCAAAUAUUAUAUGUAAUAUAAAAAAUAUUAUACCACAAAGAAGCAUAGGCAGAUUUAAUGUAUUACAUAUUUAGUAUCAAAAGGUCCAUGAAAAAUUAUCCAAUUUCAUGACAGCUGAAAUUUUGUUACUAAUUAUACCAAUCAUCAUAAUAGCAGGCAGUAUGACACAUAGACAGAACUUAUACAAACCCCUUUUUUUAAAUCUGGUGCUUAAAUGUCAAUUUUCUAGGAUAAAGGAUGUAUUUUAGCUUUACUUAUUUUUUAUUUGUGGCUUUUCAAAGAGUGGUUCAAGAGUUGAGUUUAUGCUCCUUAGGCACAUCUGAAAUUCCAUACAAGAAAUGCCAAAACCCUUACACAAACAGUAAAAAGGUCACUUUAGCUCUCUUGCACACAAGUGAAUAGCAUCUGCAUCUGAAAAAGAAGCUGAUGGGAAGAGUGAUGGAAGAGUCCCUCUCAGACUGACCUUCCAUCAGAAGC